rnacentral:rRNA from 1 species
GACGAACGCUGGCGGCGUGCCUAAUACAUGCAAGUCGAGCGGACCGAACAGGAGCUUGCUCUUGUUCGGUUAGCGGCGGACGGGUGAGUAACACGUGGGUAACCUGCCCGUAAGACCGGGAUAACUCCGGGAAACCGGAGCUAAUACCGGAUAACACCGAAGACCGCAUGGUCUUUGGUUGAAAGGCGGCUUCGGCUGCCACUUACGGAUGGGCCCGCGGCGCAUUAGCUAGUUGGUGAGGUAACGGCUCACCAAGGCGACGAUGCGUAGCCGGCCUGAGAGGGUGACCGGCCACACUGGGACUGAGACACGGCCCAGAAUCCUACGGGAGGCAGCAGUAGGGAAUCUUACGCAAUGGACGAAAGUCCGACGGAGCGACGCGGCGUGAGGUAAAAAGAACGUCGGAGCGUAAAGCACUGAUGUUAGGGAAGAAGAAGCGACGUUCGAACAGGGUGGCAGAGUGACGGUACAUAGCAAGAAAGACACGGCUGACUAUAGU